rnacentral:rRNA from 1 species
GACGAACGCUGGCGGCGUGCCUAAUACAUGCAAGUAGAACGCAGUUGCGAACGGGUGAGUAACGCGUAGGUAACUGCCUCAUAGCGGGGGAUAACUAUGGGAACCGAUAGCUAAAACCCCUAACUUGGAGUGGAACUUGCGUUGUUUGGGUGAGGUGGUGAGGUAAAGGCGCACCAAGGCGACGAUCCAUAGCCGACUUGAGAGGGUGAUCGGCCCCACUGGGACUUAGACACGGCCCAGACUCCUACGGGAGGCAGCAGUAGGGAAUCUUCGGCAAUGGACGGAAGUCUGACCGAGCAACGCCGCGGGAGUGAAGAAGGUUUUCGGAUCGUAAAGCUCUGUUGUUAGAGAAGCGGUAACUAACCAGAAAGGGACGGCUAACUACGUGCCAGCAGCCGCGGUAAUAC